AUUGCUUCUCUGCCUGUUGGCUAAGAUCAAGUGUAGUAUCUGUUCUGAGCAGUUCAAAGCAGCUGUACUAUUUUGUAUUCCUGCCAGCUAUGAACUAGAGCUUCUGUUGCUCCACAUUCU
rnacentral:snRNA from 1 species